rnacentral:rRNA from 1 species
UACGGGGGGGGGCAAGCGUUUGUUCGGAAUUACUGGGCGUAAAGGGCUCGUAGGCGGCCAACUAAGUCGGAUGUGAAAUCCCCAGGCUCAACUUGGGAACUGCAUCCGAUACUGGAUGGCUUGAAUCCGGGAGAGGGAUGCAGAAUUCCAGGUGUAGCGGUGAAAUGCGUAGAUAUCUGGAGGAAUACCGGUGGCGAGGGCGGCAUCCUGGACCGGCAUUGACGCUGAUGAGCGAAAGCUAGGGGAGCAAACGGG